rnacentral:rRNA from 1 species
GACGAACGCUGGCGGCGUGCUUAACACAUGCAAGUCGAACGGAAAGGCCCUGCUUUUGUGGGGUGCUCGAGUGGCGAACGGGUGAGUAACACGUGAGUAACCUGCCCUUGACUUUGGGAUAACUUCAGGAAACUGGGGCUAAUACCGGAUAGGAGCUCCUGCUGCAUGGUGGGGGUUGGAAAGUUUCGGCGGUUGGGGAUGGACUCGCGGCUUAUCAGCUUGUUGGUGGGGUAGUGGCUUACCAAGGCUUUGACGGGUAGCCGGCCUGAGAGGGUGACCGGCCACCUUGGGACUGAGAUACGGCCCAGACUCCUACGGGAGGCAGCAGUGGGGAAUAUUGCACCAUGGGCGGAAGCCUGGUGCAGCAACGCCGCGUGCGGGAUGACGGCCUUCGGGUUGUAAACCGCUUUCGCCUGUGACGAAGCGUGAGUGACGGUAAUGGGUAAAGAAGCACCGGCUAACUACGUG